AAGGAACUUCAGUUAUUGCUAUAUCAAAAAAUAAGUUCAUACAUUUCAUACUUGAUAUGAUGAAUACAUAGAAUAUUCUAGAGAGCCUUCUUUUUGAGUGGAUUAUUUUGGUGAGGUAAUGUCUUGCCCGUGCGAUUCAUGUUAUUUCAGAUAGUUUUGAAGAAUAGUUAUGUUGGCAUUUCUCCAACAGUUAAGUUUGAAUUGUGUCAAUCUGCUGAUAUAGUUGACAGAUCAUUGCUACUGAGCGUAUGCUAUAUCAUUCAUUUUGGAUUAAUAGCUGAGCUAAAGUACUUGAUCAUUGGUGAUUAGCCUUUUGCUAAAGUUAGAAUUUUCUGUAGAUUUAGGUCAUUAGACUUCAAUGAGGAUGACACUUUCUGCUUGCUUGGUAAAUCAAUCUGUAUAUACUAGUAGUUUUUGGGUGCAAGGAAUAUUGUGCAAAAGGACUGCAAUUUGAUUAGGAGGUACAGAGUUUACGAUUUUAUGCAUGACCGGAUAUUAUGAUUAAUCUGUAGUCCUUCCCUGGGAUGUGAGUCAAUAUGGCAAGUUUGGGAUAAUAGUAACCAUGUCUGGAAUCUUUAGGAUGGAAUAUGAAUUAGCCUUGUGAAAGCAUGUCAGAUGAU
rnacentral:misc_RNA from 1 species